AUUUUUUUUUUGAGGGCAAGUAUUCUGCUACCUCUAUAAGCCAAAAAUACUCCAUCUUCUCAGCUACUCCUCCAAACUGGAAUUGGCAGGUGAAUUACAAUAGCGUGCUAAAUUUUUAGUGUAUAAGGCAGAAUUAAUAAU
rnacentral:lncRNA from 12 species